UGGGGAAAGUAGCAGGAGCCCUGCUUACUCUCUCUCUCUCUUUCUGUCUCUCAUUCGUGAUAUGCAUGCAGGGGGAACCAGAGAUCAAGGUGGGGACGUGGGGUGUGGAUGGAGGGUCCCGCUGGGACAUGGGGCGCGCCGACUGCAUCAAGUCAAUCAGGAUUCGCGCCGGGGGUGUUGUCGACUCCAUAGCCUUCACGUACGUGAUUGGAGAGACGACCAAACAGACUCACCCAUAUGGAGGCCCCGGCGGUACAUCCAACGAGAUCAAAAUUUCUGACGAGGAAUACCUCACCUCAAUCUCGGGAUACAUCGGAGAGUGCGGUGGAACUCCUUGCAUAUCUCAGCUCACAUUUGCCACGAAUCAAGAAAAUUACGGACCGUACGGAAGUGGCGGCGGAACUCCUUUCAACCUUCCUGUGGAAGAGGGUAAGAUCGCGCGCUUCUACGGACGUGCAGGUCCCUAUCUUACUGCCAUUGGCGUCUACUUGAAGCCAAACUAGUAGCAGCUCAAUGGAGUGCAAUUGAAGCUGUCUAUUACUUGGGUGAUCCAAUAAAUAAAGGAUGUCAUAUACUACCGUUGACAUCUCUCGAUGUUUGUCUUAUGUUUAAGUUGUGUGCCUAAGUAUGUCGUUGUGAUCCUACAAAUAAAAUGGGUUGUGCUUAUUAUGUGACUCAA